GAAGGCGGCCCCCUGGACAGAUACUGACACUCAGAUGCGAAAGCGUGGGGAGCAAACAGGAUUAGAUACCCUGGUAGUCCACGUCGUAAACGAUGUCUACUUGGAGGUUGUGGCCUUGAGCCGUGGCUUUCGGAGCUAACGCGUUAAGUAGACCGCCUGGGGAGUACGGUCGCAAGAUUAAAACUCAAAUGAAUUGACGGGGGCCCGCACAAGCGGUGGAGCAUGUGGUUUAAUUCGAUGCAACGCGAAGAACCUUACCUACUCUUGACAUCCAGAGAACUUUCCAGAGAUGGAUUGGUGCCUUCGGGAACUCUGAGACAGGUGCUGCAUGGCUGUCGUCAGCUCGUGUUGUGAAAUGUUGGGUUAAGUCCCGCAACGAGCGCAACCCUUAUCCUUGUUUGCCAGCGAGUAAUGUCGGGAACUCCAGGGAGACUGCCGGUGAUAAACCGGAGGAAGGUGGGGACGACGUCAAGUCAUCAUGGCCCUUACGAGUAGGGCUACACACGUGCUACAAUGGCGCAUACAGAGGGCAGCCAACUUGCGAGAGUGAGCGAAUCCCAAAAAGUGCGUCGUAGUCCGGAUCGGAGUCUGCAACUCGACUCCGUGAAGUCGGAAUCGCUAGUAAUCGUGGAUCAGAAUGCCACGGUGAAUACGUUCCCGGGCCUUGUACACACCGCCCGUCACACCAUGGGAGUGGGCUGCAAAAGAAGUAGGUAGUUUAACCUUCGGGAGGACGCUUACCACUUUGUGGUUCAUGACUGGGGUGAAGUCGUAACAAGGUAACCGUA
rnacentral:rRNA from 1 species